AUUGAACGCUGGCGGCAGGCCUAACACAUGCAAGUCGAGCGGCAGCGGGAAAGUAGCUUGCUACUUUUGCCGGCGAGCGGCGGACGGGUGAGUAAUGCCUGGGAAAUUGCCCAGUCGAGGGGGAUAACAGUUGGAAACGACUGCUAAUACCGCAUACGCCCUACGAGGGAAAGCAGGGGACCUUCGGGCCUUGCGCGAUAUGAUCUGCCCAGGUGGGAUUAGCUAGUUGGUGAGGUAAUGGCUCACCAAGGUGACGAUCCCUAUCUGGUCUGAGAGGAUGAUCAGCCACACCGGAACUGAGACACGGUCCAGACUCCUACGGGAGGCAGCAGUGGGGAAUAUUGCACAAUGGGGGAAACCCUGAUGCAGCCAUGCCGCGUGUGUGAAGAAGGCCUUCGGGUUGUAAAGCACUUUCAGCGAGGAGGAAAGGUUGAUGCCUAAUACGUAUCAACUGUGACGUUACUCGCAGAAGAAGCACCGGCUAACUCCGUGCCAGCAGCCGCCGUAAAAC
rnacentral:rRNA from 1 species